ACUCAUAAUUUAAUUCCCAUGCAUAAUGAACUAACACCAUAAAUUGACAUGUAAGUUAAAAAAGUUAAAAUAAGAAUAGAGAUCAUUUCAGGAAAACAAAGUAGGUACAAAAUCGUCCUUCGGCAAUAAGGCAUCUGAGCUGAAGGUAAACGUCAUGGGGUUAAUUUGUCUAUUCAUAAUGCCUGAGUUUUUUUAAAUGUCACUCACAUUUCUAAGCUUCUUUAUCAUCUUCCAACCAUAUAUAUGCGUCAUCAUCUCCCGACCCCAUAUAAUUUACAAACUAAAGUUUGCACUAACAUUUCACUAAAGUUUGCUCACCUUUAAAGAAUGUAAUUUUAGGCGUGAUUCUGUGUGUGUGCGCGCAAUUCCAGAUGAAUGAGAUUUUUUAAAAAAAAUAUGAGGGAACAAAAGAAAAAUACUGUAUGUUCACUUUUCAAAAGAAAAAAAAAUCGAUGUGUCAUGCAUGGCACAUGUAGAACCCCUUGAUGCACGCUUGGCCAUCAGUUCUCCCUCAGGAUGACCCUUUGUUUACUUAUAACUUGCUUUAGACGAUCCUCUUUGGCUUACUUAGUUCGGGCUGUUAGAUUUGCAUAUAGUCUUCCAUGCGAUCUCUUUUAGUGCAAGUUGAAUUACUUAUUAUAGUAACCAUCUAAGAUUCUCUCGGAAUAUCUCUCUAGCUAAGUCCUACUCAUAGAGAGCAUAUUCCUUUCUCAAUAAUCGCAGCGUACAUGGAUUCUUAUUCAUUGAAGUAGGUCCCAUUGGUGGCUUUCUGCUCCUUCAAACUAAAAUUGCACAACGGGUGGGUGGCGAGGACGACACUGGAGCUCGAAAAUCAGGGUUACAUAGCAUCGUCGUCGAUUUGGAGCUAUAGAUGCAUGAGAUGUCGGAGGGGAAAUAACGGU
rnacentral:lncRNA from 1 species